AAUCAACGCUGGCGGCGUGCCUCAGACAUGCAAGUCGAACGCGAAAGGUUCCUUCGGGAACCGAGUAGAGUGGCGCACGGGUGAGUAACACGUAGGUAAUUUGCCUUUGGGUGGGGAAUAACAGCCGGAAACGGCUGCUAAUACCGCAUAAUGCAGCGGCUCGACAUCGAGACAGUUGUUAAAGCGGGGGAGUCGCAAGACCUCGCGCCUAAAGAGAAGCCUGCGGCAGAUAGCUAGUUGGUAGGGUAAUGGCCUACCAAGGCGACGAUCUGUAACCGGCCUGAGAGGGCGGUCGGUCACACUGACACUGACAUACGGGUCAGACUCCUACGGGAGGC
rnacentral:rRNA from 1 species